rnacentral:lncRNA from 1 species
CGUGAGGACCCAGGUCCGCCACGGGCGGAAGAAAAACCAAGCCGGAUGUCACGAUAGGCAACCUCUCAACCCUCGGGUGUUGGACCGAGUGCAUCAUCGGACCAUGGAGGUGGUGAAUUCGUGCUCGCCUCGAGAAAGUGUCAACCGGUGUUCCAGGAAUUACUCACCGGAAUUGGCCUCCGCGGUCGUGUCGCCUUGUGCCGCGGGUAGGAUCCAAAGCGCCCUAAUCCAUGGAGGUAAGCCCACCAUCUAACUCGCGAUCACCUCCGCAUUGUUUUGCAUCAGCGCUUGUCGUGAAUCGGUCGCCGGGGGGAAAUCGAUUUUGCCUCUCCGGCGAGGGGCGCCGCCGUGAUCGGGUUCACGGGCGCGGAGUGCGCUCGUAGGGGAGAAGCUCGGGUGCCGUCCGUCUUGAGAUAAACGGUCACAAUUAGGCGGACAGCUCGGGGAGAAAGAAGGGAAUCGGUCCGUUGGAUUUUGAGCCAGCGGCUAGGAUUAGAACGAGUUCAGAUUUGAUAUGGUCCGUUCGAUCGGAAUGGAUGCGCUGGAUUAAAUCUGCGCAUAUUGGUUCGAUGCUUCACUCUGGACCGCCGAUCUGCGAUCCGAGGGCUCAGGGAGCGUACCGUUUCAAAUCCUAGCAAUCUAAUCUGGUCCGUUGAUUCCAGAUCGCGUGGCCCCUGUUAGUCGAUACCCAUUUGGUGGCCGUUUUCCUAAUGAGUCCCCCAGAGAAGUAGAAAUCAACCCGCUGUCCACCCGGGUUAAUCCUGAGUCAUGGAAAACUUUGCGAGUAGGCCCCCGAACUUCUCUGUAUUGUGCGCUCAGUCCACGAAACAGGGAAAAUAAGUAAAUAAAUACAGAAAAUAGAUAUUUAGUAUAAAAACAAUUCCAAAACCUAGUUUAAUUCAUAUAAAAUUCAUUUUAACUCAUUUUUAGCCCAUUCCAGUUUCUAUAAUUUUGUAAUAUUAUUAUUUAUCAACUAGUGUCUCUGUUUUGACAUGAAAACCAUAUUAAAAUUAAUCUCCUAACUAAUCUUGUACCUAGCACCUAGAAAUGUUGGAAAUUCAUAACUUAAAAUCCAUAACUCCAAAAUUAAUGAUUCCUGUUCCUAUGAUCUUAUUUUAAUAUGUAGAUUAUUAAUAUGUAUUUUGUUCUUAUGUUUGGUGUGAUAUUAAUUUUGCCUAUACCAUGUUUGUUUGUAUUGCAACGAUUAGCGUGAGGUCACGAGUCAUGUGAAGAGCAAGUUGGUACCUAGAAUCUCAAGUCACAGGCAAGUUGUUCCCUUGAUCACUUCUUUUUACCCAGUCAUGUUCUGAUUAAUUAUUCUUUAGAUUACAAUUUGCUUUCCGUUUCUCAAUUAUGUAAAAUGGGCUACAACUGUCUUUUUACGGAUAUAGGUGUUACUGUCUUUAGAAGAAGUGAUGAUUCAGUAGCAUUUAAGGGAGUGUUAGAGGGUCAACUAUACUUAGUUGACUUUGAUAGAGCUGAACUUGACACUUGCUUAAUUGCUAAGACUAACAUGGGUUGGCUCUAGCACCGCCGACUAGCUCAUUUUGGGAUGAAGAAUCUUCAUAAGCUUCUAAAUGGAGAGCACAUUUUGGGACUAACCAAUGUUCAUUUUGAGAAAGACAGGGUUUGUAGCGCAUGUCAAGCAGGAAAGCAAGUUGGUGUUCAUCAUCCACACAAGAACAUCAUGACGACCGACAGGCCGCUCGAGCUACUCCACAUGGACCUAUUCGGCCCGAUCGCUUACAUAAGCAUCAACGGGAGUAAGUAUUGUCUUGUAAUAGUGGAUGAUUAUUCUCGCUUCACUUGGGUAUUCUUUUUGCAGGAAAAAUCUCAAACCCAAGAGACCUUAAAAGGAUUCUUGAGACGAGCUCAAAAUGAGUUCGGCUUGAGGAUCAAGAAGAUUAGAAGCGACAACGGGACGGAGUUCAAGAACUCUCAAAUAGAAGGCUUCCUUGAGGAGGAGGGCAUCAAGCAUGAGUUCUCUUCUCCCUACACACCACAAUAAAAUGGUCUAGUGGAGAGGAAGAAUAGAACUCUAUUGGACAUGGAAAGGACCAUGCUUGAUGAAUACAAGACUUCGGAUCGGUUUUGGGCCGAGGAGGUCAACACCGCCUGCUACGCCAUCAACCGGUUGUAUCUACACCGAAUCCUCAAGAAGACAUCGUAUGAACUCCUCACCGGUAAAAAGCCAAAUGUUUCAUAUUUUAGAGUCUUUGGUAGCAAAUGUUUUAUUCUUGUUAAAAGAGGUAGAAAAUCUAAAUUUGCUCCUAAGGCUGUAGAAGGCUUUUUACUUGGUUAUGAUUCAAACACAAGGGCAUAUAGAGUCUUUAACAAGUCCUCUGGACUAGUUGAAGUUUCUUGUGACAUUGUGUUUGAUGAGACUAACGGCUCUCAAGUAGAGCAAGUUGAUCUUGAUGAGCUAGAUGAUGAAGAGGCUUCGUGCGUCGCGCUAAGGAACAUGUCCAUUGAGGAUGUGUGUCCUAAGGAAUCCGAAGAGCCUCCACAAGCACAAGAUCAACCAUCUUCCUCAAUGCAAGCAUCUCCACCAACUCAAGAUGAGGAUCAAGCUCAAGAUGAUGAUGAAGAUCAAGAGGAGCCACCUCAAGAGGAGGACAAUGAUCAAGGGGGAGAUGCUAAUAAUCAAGACAAGGAAGGUGAUCCAAGACCGCCACACCCAAGAGUCCACGAAGCAAUCCAAUGAGAUCACCCCGUGAACACCAUCCUCGGCGACAUUCAUAAGGGGGUAACUACUCGAUCUCGUGUUGCUCAUUUUUGUGAACAUUACUCUUUUGUUUCCUCUAUUGAGCCACACAGGGUAGAGGAAGCACUUCAAGAUUCGGAUUGGGUGAUGGCGAUGCAAGAGGAGCUCAAUAACUUCACGAGGAAUGAGGUAUGACAUUUAGUUCCACGUCCUAAUCAAAACAUUGUGGGAACCAAGUGGGUCUUCCGCAACAAACAAGAUGAGCAUGGUGUGGUGACAAGGAACAAAGCCCGACUUGUGGCCAAGGGAUAUUCACAAGUCGAAGGUUUGGAUUUUGGUGAAACCUAUGCACCCAUAGCUAGGCUUGAGUCAAUUCGCAUUUUACUUGCCUAUGCUACUUACCAUGGCUUUAAGCUCUAUCAAAUGGACGUGAAAAGUGCCUUCCUCAAUGGACCAAUCAAGGAAGAGGUCUAUGUUGAGCAACCUCCCGGCUUUGAAGAUAGUGAGUACCCUAACCAUGUUUAUAAACUCUCUAAGGCGCUUUAUGGGCUCAAGCAAGCCCCAAGAGCAGCAUGAAUGCCUAAGAGAUUUUCUUAUCGCUAAUGGCUUCAAAGUCGGAAAAGCCGAUCCUACUCUCUUUACUAAAACACUUGCAAAUGAUUUGUUUGUAUGCCAAAUUUAUGUUAAUGAUAUCAUAUUUGGGUCUACUAACGAAUCUACAUGUGAAGAGUUUAGUAGGAUCAUGACUCAAAAAUUCGAGAUGUCUAUGAUGGGGGAGUUGAAGUAUUUCUUAAGAUUUCAAGUCAAGCAACUCCAAGAGGGCACCUUCAUUAGCCAAACGAAGUACAUUCAAGAUAUUCUCACAAAGUUUGGGAUGAAGGAUGCCAAACCCAUCAAGACACCCAUGGGAACUAAUGGGCAUCUCGACCUCGACACGGGAGGUAAAUUCGUAGAUCAAAAGGUAUACCGGUCGAUGAUAGGUUCUUUACUCUAUUUAUGUGCUUCACGACCGGAUAUAAUGCUUUCCGUAUGCAUGUGUGCAAGAUUCCAAGCCGAUCCUAAGAAAGUUCACCUUAGGGCCGUGAAACGAAUCUUGAGAUAUUUAGUUUAUACUCCUAAGUUUGGCCUUUGGUACCCCAGGGGAUCCACAUUUGAUUUAAUUGGUUAUUCCGAUAAUGAGUGGGCAGGGUGUAAAAUUAAUAGAAAGAGCACAUCAGGGACUUGCCAGUUCUUGGGAAGAUCUCUGGUGUCUUGGGCUUCAAAGAAGCAAAAUUCUGUGGCUCUUUCUACCGCCAAAGCCGAGUAUAUUGCCGUAGGCCAUUGUUGCGUGCAAUUGCUUUGGAUGAGGCAAACCCUCAGGGACUAUGGUUACAAAUUAACCAAAGUUCCUCUUCUAUGUGAUAAUGAGAGUGCAAUCCGCAUGGCGGAUAAUCCCGUUAAGCAUAGCCGCACUAAACACAUAGUCAUUCGGUAUCAUUUCUUAAGGGAUCACCAACAAAAGGGGGAUAUCGAGAUCGCAUAUGUUAACACCAAAGAACAAUUAGCCGAUAUCUUUACCAAGCCAUUAGAUGAGCAAACUUUUACCAAACUUAGGCAUGAGCUAAAUAUUCUUGAUUCUAGGAAUUUUUAUUGAUAUUUUGCACACAUAGCUCAUUUAAUAUACCUUUGAUCAUAUCUCUUUCUUUGCUAUGACUAAUGUGGUUUUCAAGUGUAUUUCAAGCUAAGUCAUAAAUUGAAAGGGAAAUAGAGUCUUUGGCGAAGACAAGGCUUCCACUCCACUCCAUCGAAUUAUUCAUCCUUCGCCGGCACUCCACUCUCCAACUUUGGUAUAAUCUUCACAAUAGUCCCUCUUCAUAAGCAGGUGUGGCUAGAGAAACAUGGGCAUAUUAUGUUUUAGCUAUCACGUGAGAUUAGAGAAGAUUUAGGAUAUGCGAAGGUUUAGGCAAGGAAAGCUUCCAUCCCGGAUGGUGAAUCUUGAUUUGUCUGAAGAUAUGGUUUGACUUUUAUCCUUCCUUGACGAGGUUGAUCUUCUCUUCUCGGGUCUUGGUGUUAUCAUCCAAGUAAAGGACAUUUGGUUUUGGUGUUUCCUUCUGGGUUUAGGUAUAGAUGGUUGUGAAAUGUGAUAUAGAUAAAACAUGGUUUAUUUUUGUUUUUAGGUUGGACUAGAUAGGUUACAAUCUUGUUUUGAAAUAGAUUGUGGGCGAGAAAGGUUAUGGUAAGGAGAGAUUCCAUCCCGGAUGGUGGAUCCCAACUUUUGAAGAUCUUUUCUGGCUUCUGUUCUUCCUUGUCUUGAUGAGGUCGAUCACCUUCAAUCUCUGGUCUUGACUUCAUCAUCCGAGUUAGGGACAUAUAGUUAAGAUAGCUUGUAGAUAGGAACAUAUAGCUAAUAGGUAGAUGGCAUAGGACGAGUGUGCUAUGGCCAAACCUGGUCUAGUUGCUUUGUUAGGUCGGCUAGGUACAGAUCUUUAGGAACAUGUAGAUUAGGUGGGUAGGUAAGAAUAUUUUGUUGUGAAAUAGAUUGUUUAGGUAACCUAACAAGAAUAUAUAGGUUAGGUUGAUUGUGUAUUGGUCGAGUUGGCCUAAGGCACCAAUUUAGGUUAAGACAUGUGAAAGGGAAAUGAGCUUAAACAUUUCCUAUAAUCGAUUUUGGUGUUUGACGUCCAUCACAAACCAUGUGGACAAACUAGUUUGCCUAGUUGUCAUUUAUCUCAGGUGCAUAAAGUUCAACAUAAACCAACAAAGAAAAUGAGUUCAGGAACUCUACAAAGUUUGGAGCAAAAACAAGUAUUGGUGCAGCCAGUGGCGCACAGGAUGUAACACCCCUGGUGUUACUGGCACUAAAACUUGAGCAUAACAUCAUGAGCAUUGACAUUUCAUGUGGUUGUUACACCUAGAAUGCAUUCACUAGGUAAAAUUUUCAAAAAAUUUGUGAUGAGGUGACUUGAUCUGUGAUUAACCCUAGGGUAGGGUACUUAACCCUGAAUUAGGGCUUAUGGAUGAAAGUGAAGCCAAAAUGAGUAAAAAUCUCAAAAGUCAUUAGAAAUGUUCAUAAUAUAUCAAAGUUGAUGGACUUUAGUAGCACAAAAACCCUAAAGUACUCAAAACCCUAAAAGAAAACCUAGAAAACCAUAAUUGGAACCUUGGGGGGGGGGGGUAAAUGUAAAUUCUAGGCACUUUUGGACCAAAGUGCAAAAUUCAAAGUGAUAGAACACCACAAACCAAGUAACUUUCAUAUUCGAGAAUUUCCAUGUUGUAUGAUGAAAUUUGGACUUAUUUGCAAAAGGGUCACAUGAGCACUAGGUGACAAAGUCUAAAAAUCAGUGAAAUAGGGUCAACUUUGGAGCUCUGUAUCCCUCAAUUCUUAAGGAUUUUGCCCUAGGUCAACACAUCAAAUUUGUAGAGCUAUGUUAGGAGUAUAACUUUGCUUAAGUGAUUAAGCAUUGGUGUUAUAUAAAAAUUGGAUAUAAACUAGCCUAAAGAUGGACUGUCAGUCAUAAGGAAAUUCUAAACCUGGCUUAACAGUGGCGCUGGUCUGACUUUAGAAAUAAAUUAAGGACGAUUCAGUGGGUUUAAGUCUGAGGUCACUGUGAGGAAGUUGGAGGUAGUAUAUAGAAGCACAACUUUGCUAAAGUAAGGUUGGGUUGUUUCUGUACGAAAACCGAAGUAAUAAUGCCUUGAAGUAGCGCUGUCAGUCGGUUUGAUGGGGAUAGAAAUGUGAUCACUGCAUCUGACUGAAGCUAGGGUUCAGUGUUAUAGAACCAACUUGGGCAUCGUCGCGUGCUUAAUCCAUGGGGAUUUUCGGUAUGAUCGUAAUACCAAAGUGAAAGAACGUUGAUUAAUGCACAACUUCGAUGCGGACCGAUUUGCAAGUAACCACAUGAAAUAGGGCGCAAUGUCUAUCUGAAUUCGAGCUAGCAGGCACGAUGUCGACCUAUGUUCAGUGAACCUCAUCGGGGAUAAGAACGCCACCAUUGCCGUGUGCACUGCUCGGACUUGCGGCCACGGUAAAAAUCUUCCGGGACGUGGCGCAUGUAACCAUGAGGUGGCGCCGUUCGGCCAAAGCGUUUCACCUGGGCGCUCGUCGUGGCCUUACCCACGCGCGAGCUCGCAAGCGCACAUGGAGAUCUUUUGAAUCCCGUCCGAUUCCAGCCAGCCCCCUAUAAAUUGAGCCUGAGCGCUACUUCUUCACUGCAUUACGCACCUGAGUGCUUGCGUGAACCACUCAAUUUCGUGAAGAAACUUAGUUAAGCCGUGAGCUUCUCCUCACCGUUCUCGGCUCCGCCGUGAAAGACCUCUCCGUGGCUAGGUCAAAUUGAGCAAGCAUUCCCUAAAUUAUGUCCCGUCCGAGCUUCCUUAGAUACUAAGGGUACUCCUUGAUCUGUUUAAUUUAACACGGCUGCCUUUAUCUCACCAGAACAGUCCCUCGACGCCGGAGUACUCCGUGAUCCGCCGCCCCGACGCGGACCGCCUUCUCUGUUCUUCAUCCCGCCCAUUCCACUGUCGUUCUGAGCUGUUGGUAAGUCCUUAGUGCUUACCAUGCCUUUUAAUCGGGUUCUACCGCGCCAUGGUUUUGGGACCAAGCCCGGCGAACCUCGGUGUCUGCCAUGAACCAAGUGACGUGGACCGUAGGCCAUAACAAUCCGAUUGGUGGUAGGAUGUGGGUUGGUUAUGCCUAGGGAAGUGACCGGGAUGCUCGUCGUCUCGAAAGGGGCUGCCGGCGGCGAGCUCUGAUAGUGACAGUCAGGUGUUCGACACGACGUCGUCGGGGGUCUUGUGGACAUAAAUAGAACUAAGUAGAAGGGCUUAGGUGUAAGUGUCAGUGACUCAUGUAAACAGUAUCAACAAGCGCUUCGCAAUUGUUUGAACGAUCAGGGGCCAUUGCGCAAAUCAACCCGCGCGGUCGCAGGCGCGCCGGAAUUCUAUACAGACCUGGUCCGGCCGGGCUGGUUUUGGCCCAAUACUGUAGACAGUUUCUCCUUUUCUUUUUUUGAUUAGGAUUGGAGAUCCAUCAGAAAUUCUAGAAAAAUAAUAAAAAUAUGGGACCAAUUUUACUAGACUCCUAAAAUCCUAUAGUAUUUAAUAAAAGUAGUUCCAAGAUUUUUAAUCCCAACUAUGAAUUAUUUAGUAUUUAAAAGGGCCUAAACCUAGACUUUUGAAAUUUUAGAAAUUAACAAAUAGCUCCAAAAAUCAUAAAACUUUUUGGGUAAGCUUAAUUUGAUAAUUAGAUCCCAUGGAUGAAGUUUGAAAUGUGUUGGACAUUGUUUGAUUCCCAAACCCAAAACCCUAGCUUUCUAGAUAAUAGUUGCCUUAUUCUAGUGGACUACUAACUCGGAAAACCCUAGUUUCCCUGGUGUACCGAGAAGGAAAGUUGUAUUCAAGAUACAACUUGAUGUGUCGCUAAUAAAAUUGCAUUCAUAGCAUCACAUGAGCAUUCAUGUUUGUAUAUGGUUAUGUAUAGAAAACAAAGAAGAAGUAAGUGUCAAAGAGGAAGAGACUGCACCACCAACUGAAACUCCACCUGCUGGGAGUUGUUUUUAUUUCGAUAUCUGUGGAACAGAUCCCAACUCCCCUACAACACAAGGCAAGCCCCGGUGCAUUUACCUUUCCUUGUGAUUUUAAACUCUUUAUCACUUGAAUGAUGCAUUAGGUGAUAGGAGUUGAGUGCUACACAAUUGCUGCAUUUCCUUCCUUGAAGUUGACUACCAUUCCUUGAUUACCUGUUUUAUUAAAAGGUUUUCUGAUGCUUAGUCUUGCUUUAGAAAACAAAAAUGUUUUGGUUUUAACAAAAGAUGAUGCUUCAGAUGGAAUGGGAUCUUUUCAAAAAUAAAACUUGAUGGUGGAUCCAUCAUGGACGUGAUGGGUUCAACAUCAGAAAAGAUGUACCUCUGACAGGUACCAAACUUUGGGACUUUAAAUGAUAAAGCUGAGACCGGGCGGGUGACUUGCACGAGAAGAGAGUCUCGGUGUAGUGGCUCCGUCUGAGUUGAUUAAGGACCAUGUCGAUGUAGGCUUGAUGAUUGAGAACCUUUUAACUAGUCACAUGCCUCGUCAUGGGUAAGCUUUGCCUCAGGCACACCAAUACCAGAAAGGCCAACACGCAAUGGGAGUGCCAUAUUCUUUGUCGAGUGUUUUUUCGGGCACUCGACAUAGAAGCUCUUUGCCGAGUGCCACGCAAAAAACCCUCUAUAAAAGAAAACACUCGCAGAAGCUCUUUGCCGAGUGUUUUAUUUUUGACACUCGGCAAAGAGUUUCUUUGCCGAGUGUCUUUUUUUGACACUCGACAAAGGGCUCUUUGCCGAGUGUCACAAAUACAACACUCGGCAAAGAGCUCUUUGCCGAGUGUUUUUUUCCAAAACUAGGCAAAGACAAUUUAAAAAUCACAUUUUAAAGCAGUAAAUUAAUUCAAAUGAAAAAGUUUUCAACUACAAAUUUGUAUAACUCAUCAUGAUAUACAAUUCAUAUAUUGAACAUUUCUUCAUAUGACAAAAUAAAAAUAAAUUUGUUCAUAAAACCUAUAUCUCUCCCGUAGUUUAUGAAACUACGAGGGAGACAUAUAUAAUUUGUGCAUAUUGUUAGAACCAUCAUGUGAGAUAAACAAAUGACCAAACAACCAAAAUAAACUUUGUAGAUCUUGAGAAGUUAAAGAGGUUUGUAGUUGACAACUUUUUCAUUUGAAGUCAUAUUGUCAACGAAAACUACGUCUGAAUUUAAAAAAUUUAAAAUUUGAAUUUUGAAAACGACCUCGAAAUAAAAAACCACCAACAUAAAAGUUGUAGGUAUUGAAGAGUUAUGAAACUUUGUAGUUUACAAUGUUUUGGUUUGAAAUCAUCUUGUUAUGCAAAACUAUGUUUGAAUUUUAAAAUUUGAAUUUUUCAAACUAUCUCGGAUGGGAAACCACCAAAAUAAAAGUUGUAGGUCUUGAAAUGUAAUGAAACUUUGUAAUUGACAACUUUUUGAUUUGAAAUCAUCUAAUCAUUGAAAAAUUCGUGUGAAGUUUUCAAAUUUAAAAUUCAAAUUUUGUAAACGGUCUCGGAUGUAGAAACUAUUAAAAUAAAACUUGUAGAUCUCAAAAAGUUAUGCAACUUUAUAGUUGGUCACAUUUUCAAAUGAACUCAUUCAGUGCCUUAAAUAAUCAAAUUACUCUCGGUUUGUUAUAGUACAUGGGGAAUGAAAACGUAAUAUAGACAUAAUUGGUGUAGUAGUGUAGUGGUAUAGGAGGGUAUGCGUGAGAUAGAAGUUGCGAGUUCGAAUCUCACCAUUUACAAAACAUAUAAAUUUGAUUCAAAAUAAUAGUGAAAAAUGAUAAGGCUUUGGUAAGGUAAUAGGUAGGGUUGGAGAGUUGUUCCUAUAAUUUUUAAAAAAUGUUUUGCUGUUUUUUUUUAAUUUUUUCGAUUCUUAAUUUGCCGAGUGUUUUUCUUUGCCGAGUGCUUUUCGACACUCGGCGAAGUCUUUACCGAGUGUCCGAAAAAAGUACUCGGCAAAGAACCCUUUGCCGAUAAAAUAUUUGCCGAGUGUUACACUCGGCUAAGGCUUUGUCGAGUGUAAAAUAGCCUUUGCCGAGUGUCUUAGACACUUGGCAAAGAACACGAUUCCGAUAGUGGAGUGGAGAGAUGGCGAGAGUAGCGUGUACCCUCCGUGGCAAGAGGCUGGACGGUGGUGUAUCUGUGCUCUCGGUUGGCGUGAACUCGGUCUGGUCUUGAGAACCCCGGUGGCGAGUUGACAUAUGCAAGGGUUAAGUGCUACAUAUGUCGUGUGAUUGGAGAUCCCCAACUGGGUAUUAAUCGAUUCAGAUCGCCGUUACUUCUCAGAUAUGAAUACUUGGUCACUGCAAUACACGUAGCAAUCCAGUAAAGAAAAAUGGUGAUAAAAGAUGACUAGUGUAGGCCAAGUGCUUGAACUAGGGUAGAAAGAAAUCUAGCUACAGGUGAUGACUUAACUUGAUAAUAAAACUGGAUUUUUAAGGAUCCACUAUUAGUAAGCAUUCUGCAAACAAAGUCUUUGAUUUUUUGAAUAGCCUUACCUUGACUCCCUCAAGCCAGCAUAUCCUUGAGAGUCUUUUCUUUUGUCGGGUAAGACUUGUGAAAGUACACUCCGUACUCAGGGUUUUUGAACCCAUGUUGUUGUAGGUGAGGAAACAGCAGAGUUUUGCUGUUUCUACUCAAGGGUGGUACCCAAGGAAGAGCCCCAGCAAUGAAGUUGGUCACGGGAGGAUGUUUGCCUCCCACUUUGAAAUCAAUAAACUUGUGUGCGGGAGGGUGUUUUGCCUCCCUGGUCUGUAAUAAUACUCCAUGCACCCGUAAUACCCUGGUUUUGUAAUAAUAAUACACUCUCUCUAUAUGGAUGAAUGUAAAUUAAGUCAUUGUAAUUUGCUUCCACUUAUUCUUUCCUCCGAUGUGAUGUAAUAUCUGCGUGACGGGUGAAGCGCUCUUGGGCGAAAUGAUGAGGAUACAGUUACCGAACUUGUCGAGUGAUUAUGUGCAUCUAUAGGGUUGUCCAAGGUCCUUAGGACAAGGACAACUGUAGGUGGGCCUAAUACCUUGGGAGGUUCCGUCACAGCUGGUAUCGGAGCGAAACCCAUCUCUCCAGAUAUUACGUAGUACUUCAAAAGAAUUUUCAAAUACUCACCUAGAAAUAUUCUUUCAUUUUUACCUUACCACUUUCUGGUAGUCCCUUAUCUGGUAGAAUUGGGUAACAAAGUGCAAUAUAUAGGAAGUUGGGGAUCAACGAAAGUUGAUUCCAUAAUUAUCAGGUUAUGCAUGCAUCAUGUUUAAGGAUAUACUAAAAAAUCUUCCCCUCUUAUGGAGAUAUGGCAUGAACAAGGAAAACAACACACAAAUCUUCUGGACCUUUUGGUGUGCCUCGUCAUCAGCUAGCCCCUAGACAUGAAGGGAGUAGUAGUGGCAGCAAUGACCCAAUUGGAGACCUGGAAACCAAGGUGGAACAACUUCGGUCAGAGCUACGUCACCGAAAUAGGGCAUGGGCGCAUGACAACCAGCAUAUAGCUGAAUUGUCAGCUGACGUCAGCCGCUUGCAAUAUGAGAUCUCAGAACGGGAUUCGGCCAUUGAUUGGGCCGUCAACUCGCGUUCGAUCGCUUGGGACCGCGAAGCAAAAGCUCGAGCUCGUGUGGCAGAGCUUAGUGCGGCCCUCGACAACCUGCAAGUGUACUGUAAUACUUUACAUGAAGAAGUACAUGUACUAUAUGCUCGACUGCACUCGAAUGUGCCUUCUGACAUUGCUGCAGUGGGAGCCAGACCAUCGGGAACAGCAAAUGAAGGACCUGAUGAGGAGUUGGACCUUUUUAGGCCCCCUCCUUCCAUGAACCUUGCUGACGAACGGUCUCCUGCAGUAGAAAAUGAAGCAACCAAGGAUGACGAAGACUAGAAUAGUAUAGUUUAGAUGUUAUACUUAUGUAAAAUAAGUAAUGAAGUCAAGUUGUACGCAGGAGUCUGUAUAAUUAUUACAUUUUGGUAAUGUAAUAUGAUGGUGUGUGCUGGCUUGUUAUAAUUUUUUUCCAAAUGUUUCUUUGCCUCAGAUGCCAUCACAGACUCGCGCACAUGAUGGUGCGGGGACUUCCCACGGUCAGGAAGAUACUCCUAACCCGACACCAGUACCACCGACUUUGGCCGAGGCUAUCCCUGCCCUGGUCAAUGCCACUGCGGAUAAUACGCGCUUCUUGCGCGAAAUGGCGGGAAUCAGUUCCAACCGCAUGGUGGGAGAGCUCCUCCCCAAGGGUUGCGUGAUACUACAUAUUUGGAAUUUUCUAAGACUCGACCCCCCGCUCUUUAUUAAAGCAGAAGAACCUCUAGAAGCCGAUGAGUGGGUAAGAGUUAUGGAACAGAAGUUUGGGCUGAUUCGCUUCACAGAGACGCAGAAGCCACUGUUUGCUGCACAACAGCUGAGAGGGCCUGGCAGUACUUAGUGGGCAAAUUUUGUAGCAAUUCAAUCGGCUGGACAUCAGAUCACUUGGGAGGAAUUCAAGCUAGCAUUCCGGGAGCAUUAUGUUCCAGAGGGAGUGCUCCAUAUGAAACAAGAAGAAUUCAUCCGGUUAAAGCAAGGGGGAGAUACUGUAAUGCAGUAUCUCAACAAAUUCAACCAUCUAUCUCAGUAUGCCAUCGACAAAGUGAAUACAGAUCUGAAGAAAAAGAAUUGUUUUAUGAGGGGACUCAAUGACAGGGUUCAGCAGAAAAUGGCAACCUGCUUGGACCUUACUUACAGUAGGGCUGUCAGUACUGCACUGGUAGUAGAAGCCAAAAAUGCAGGACAUGGAAAAUCAAAGGGAUUUGGAGGUGAAAGGUCAAAUCAAGGGCCUAAGAAGAGAACCAGGUUGGUGAUCUGACCUUUUAAUCAAAAUCGUUCUUCGCCUCGCCCACCUUCCUAUCCCUUCAAGCAGCCUGUUUUUAUUUGUCCCACUACUGCCCCCGCUUCUACCAAUCACCCGAGUGCCCCUCGUACUCGUUUCCCUGUUCUCCCCAGUUCUUCCACUGGUUGCUUCAAUUGUGGAAAGUCCGGACACUUCAUCAAGGACUGUCCAUACCCGAAGCAAAAUAAAACCAAUUUCCAACAGAACUCUAGGAACUCCAACCAAGGAAAGGGAAAUAUGGCUAAUACUUCAACGGGCAAGAACUUCAAGAAAACUGGAUGGAUUUAUUAUAGUCAAGUGGCUACAACACCGGAGGGUGAGCCGAUAAUGAUGGGUACGUUCCUUAUUGCCAAUUAGCUAGCAGUUAUUCUCUUCGAUUCUGGUGCAUCACACACCUUCAUAAGCAAGAAUUUUGUGGAAAAGCAUUGCAUUCCUUGCACUAAAUCAAGGGAAGGAUUUAUUAUCCAUUCACCUGGGGACGGAUAUGUACUAAGGAAGUAGCCUUCCACAUACCAGUAACAUUGGCCGGGCGGGAAUUCCCUACCAAUAUGAUUGUUUUAAAGGGACAAGACAUAGAUAUAAUCCUGGGCAUGAAUUGGUUAGCCCAGCAUAAAGCUAUCAUUAAUACCGACUUAAGGACCAUCAAAUUGAGCCAUGGCCAUGAAGAGAUUCAACUGUCCAUCCCUGUAGCUAUCCCAGUCAAACCAUCUGGGCAAGUUUAUGAAGCUAUCAUUCCAGAAAUCUAGAAUAUUUCAGUGGUAUGUGAAUUCCCGGAUGUCUUUCCUGAAGAUUUGUCUGGAUUGCCUCCUAAAAGGGAUGUGGAAUUCGUGAUUGAACUAAAGCCCGGUACGACUCCUAUUUCUAUAAGGUCGUACUGAAUGCCACCUAAUGAAUUGGCAGAACUCAAGACUCAACUCCAAGACUUUCUUGAGAAGGGGUUCAUUAGACCUAGUUCAUCACCAUGGGGAUGUCCAGCAAUUUUCGUUAAGAAGAAGGAUCAGACACUUCGAAUGUGCGUGGACUACCGACCCCUUAAUGAGGUCACCAUCAAGAACAAGUACCCUCUUCCUUGGAUCGAUAUCUUAUUCGAUCAACUUACUGGAGCUCGAUUAUUCUCCAAUAUUGACCUUAGGUCAGGUUAUCAUCAAAUCCGUAUUCGACCCGAAGAUAUACCCAAGACCGCAUUCACUACGUGGUAUGGAUUAUUCGAAUAUUUGGUUAUGUCUUUCGGAUUGACAAAUGCUCCAGCCCACUUCACAUACUUAAUGAACUCGCUAUUUAUGCCCGAGUUAGAUAAAUUUGUGGUGGUCUUCAUUGAUGAUAUUCUUAUCUAUUCCAAAAAUGAAGAGGAGCAUGCUAAACACUUACAGAUCGUGCUAAUGCGCUUAAGGGAGCAUCAGCUGUAUGCUAAGUUCAGCAAAUGCACGUUUUGGUUGGAAGAAAUCCAGUUUCUGGGACAUGUAUUGUCUGCCAAAGGAAUUGCGGUCGAUCCCAGCAAAGUCAAGGAUAUUCUAGAAUGGAAACCACCAACUACAGUACAUCAAGUUCGAAGCUUCCUUGGACUAGCUGGAUAUUACCGCAUGUUUAUUCCGGAUUUCUCCAAGAUUGUUAAACCUAUUACAGGUUUAUUGAAGAAUGAUACUAAGUUUGACUGGUCCUCAAAAUGCAAUGAAGCCUUCGAGUAGCUGAAGGUGUUAUUAACCACUGCUCCGGUAUUAGCUCAACCGGACAUUGAAAAAUCUUUUGAUGUGUAUUGUGACGCAUCAGGAAGUGGACUUGGAUGUGUACUAAUGCAAGAGGGCCGAGUCAUAGCUUAUGCUUCAAGACAACUUCGCCGGCAUGAGGAGCACUAUCCAACUCAUGAUUUGGAACUAGCUGCAGUUGUUCAUGCCCUCAAGGUAUGGCGUCAUUAUGUGCUGGGAAAUACUUGCCAUUUAUAUACAGAUCAUAAAAGUCUGAAAUAUAUUUUUACCCAGUCAGAAUUAAACAUGAGGCAGAGAAAAUGGCUUGAGCUGAUUAAAGAUUAUGACUUGGAAAUCCACUAUCACCCAGGAAAAGCCAAUGUGGUGGCAGAUGCACUCAGUCGCAAAGCCUCUUGUCAUUGUCUUACCGUAAGGGCCUCUGACACCACACUAUGUCAAGAAAUGGAAAAGUUGAACCUAGGAAUGGUACAACAUGGAACUUUGACACAAUUAAAGCUUGAGUCAGUUCUUCUACAGAGAAUUAUUGAUGCCCAAAGAACCGACAAGGGUAUGAAGCACAUUCAUGAGAAAAUAGAAGCCGACAAAGCUAAUUGCUUCAGAGAGGAUGACCAAGGGAUAAUAUGGUUUAAUGAUCGCAUAGUUGUGCCUAAAGAUGCUAAAAUCCACCAACAGACCUUGGAUGAAGCUCAUCUUAGUCGAUAUUCCAUUCAUCCUGGAAGUACUAAGAUGUAUCAAGACUUAAAGCAACACUAUUGGUGGACAAAAAUGAAGAUUAAGAUUGCACGCUAUGUGGCAAGAUGUGACACAUGUAGACAUGUCAAGGCAGUGCACAUGAAGACUGCUGGACCACUGCAAUCUUUACCCAUCCCAACAUGGAAAUGGGAGGAUAUUAGUAUGGACUUCAUUGUGGGAUUGCCCAAGACGGCAAAAGGUUUUGACUCCAUAUGGGUCAUAAUUGAUUGGCUUACGAAGAUUGCUCAUUUCCUACCCGUCAAGACCAAAUAUACAGUGGUCGCAUACGCGGAACUUUAUAUUGCCCGUAUUCUUAGUUUACAUGGAGUUCCAAAAACGAUAGUGUCGGAUCGUGGACCACAAUUUGUAUCCAAAUUUUGGAGUGAACUGCAUAAAUUCUUUGGUACUAAGUUGCUUCACAAUUCGGACUAUCAUUCCCAAACAAGUGGACAAACUGAGAGAGUAAAUCAAAUACUUGAAGACAUGUUGCGGGCGUGCGUCCUAGAGUUCCCGCAAAAAUGGGAUGAAUGUCAGCCAUUGGCGGAAUUUUCUUAUAACAAUAGCUAUCAAAAAAGCAUUAAGAUGGCACCAUUCGAAGCACUGUACGGGCGUCGGUGUCGGACACCCUUAAAUUGGUCAGAACCUGGAGAACGGUGGUAUUUCAGGCCUGACUUAGUCAAGGAAACAGAAGCAAAGGUUCAACGGAUAAGGCAUCACUUGAAAGAAGCUCAAGCUCGGCAGAAAAGUUAUGCAGACAAACGACGCCGACCCUUGUUCUUUCAAGUCAAAGAUUAUGUGUACCUGAAAGUAUCACCAAUGAAGGGUGUGAACCGUUUCAGGGUAAAAGGAAAGCUAGCACCCCGAUACAUUGGCCUGUUUCCCAAUCUUGAACAAUGCGAACCAGUGGCGUACUGACUUCAACUACCAGAAACAUUAUCUGCAGUGCAUAAUGUGUUCCAUGUAUCCCAACUAAAGAAGUGCCUUUGGGUUCCUGAUCGAACCAUCGAUGUGGUGGAAGUUGUCUUAGAACCAGAUUUGACUUAUUCAGAACAUCCCAUUCAAGUUUUGGAUCAGAAGGACAUGAUCACUCGAAAAAGGACUCUUAAAUUCUAUAAGGUACAAAGGAACCAGCAUACUGAAGAUGAAGCUACCUGGGAGACUCAAGACUUCUUGGAAAAGAAUUUUCCUAGGUUCUUAACUUCAUGUAACUUGUAAGAUAUGUACAUUUGUUUGUAAAGUUGGAAUAAACCCCAGACCACCCCCUUCUCUGUAAGACAAGUAUGGAAACAAAGAUGUGACACGUUUCCUUUUCCAUUACUUACCCUAGGACCUUAAAUCACAGGACGAGAUUCUUUUAUGGGGGGAAGGAUGUAACACCCCUGGUGUUACUGGCACUAAAACUUGAGCAUAACAUCAUGAGCAUUGAUAUUUCAUGUUGUUGUUACACCUAGAAUGCAUUCACUAGGUAAAAUUUUCAAAAAAGUUGUGAUGAGGUGACUUGAUGUGUGAUUAACCCUAGGGUAGGGUAAUUAACCCUGAAUUAGGGCUUAUGGAUGAAAGUGAAGCCAAAAUGAGUAAAAAUCUCAAAAGUCAUUAGAAAUGUUCAUAAGAUAUCAAAGUUGAUGGACUUUAGUGGCACAAAAACCCUAAAGUACUCAAAACCCUAAAAGAAACCCUAGAAAACUCUAAUUGGAACCCUAGGGGGGUAAAUGUAAAUUCUAGGCACUUUUGGACCAAAGUGCAAAUAUCAAAGUGAUAGAACACAACAAAUCAAGUAACUUUCAUAUUGGAGAAUUUCCACAUUAUAUGAUGAAAUUUGGACUUAUUUGCAAAAGGGUCACAUGAGCACUAGGUGACUAAGUUUGAAAAUCAGUGAAAUAGGGUCAACUUUGGAGCUCUGUAUCCCUCAAUUCUUAAAGAUUUUGCCCUAGGUCAACACAUCAAAUUUGUAGAGCUAUGUUAGGAGUAUAAAUUUGCUUAAGUGAUUAAGCAUUGGUGUUAUAUAAAAAUUGGAGAUAAACUGGCCUAAAGAUGGACUGUCAGUCAUAAGGAAAUUCUAAACCUGGCUUAACAAUGGCGCUGGUCUGACUUUAGAAAUAAAGGACGAUUCAGUGGGUUUAAGUCUGAGGUCACUGUGAGGAAGUUGGAGGUAGUAUAUAGAAGCAUAACUUUGCUAAAGUAAGGUUGGGUUGUUGCUGUACGAAAACCGAAGUAAUAAUGACCUGAAGUAGCGCUGUCAGUCGGUCUGAUGGGGAUAGAAAUGUGAUCACUGCAUCUGACUGAAGCGAGGGUUCAGUGUUAUUGAGCCAACUUGGGCGUCGCCACAUGCUUAAUCCAUGGGGAUUUCGGUAUGAUCGUUAUACCAAAGUGAAAGAACGUUGAUUAAUGCACAACUUCGAUGCGAACCGAUUUGCAAGUAACCACAUUAAACAGGGCGCAAUGUCUAUCUGAAUUCGGGCUAGCAGGCAUGAUGUCGACCUAGGUUCAGUGAACCUCGCUAGGGAUAAGAACGCCACUUUUGUUGUGUGCACUGCUCGGACUUGCGGCUGUGGAAAAAAUCUUUAGGGACAUGGCACAUGUAACCAUGAGGUGGCGCCGUUCGGCCAAAGCGUUUCACUUGGGCGCUCGUCGUGGCCUUAUCCGCGCGCGAGCUCGCCAGUGCACAUGGAGAUCUUUUGAAUCCCGUCCGAUUCCAACCACCCCCUAUAAAUUGAGCCCGAGCGCUACUUCUUCACUGCAUUACACACCUGAGUGCUUGCGCGAACCACUCAAUUUCGUGAAGAAACUUAGUUAAGCUGUGAGCUUCUCCUCACCGUUCUCGGCUCCACCGUGAAAGACCUCUCCGUGGCCAGGUCAAAUUGAGCAAGCAUUCCCUAAAUUCUGUCCCGUCCGAGCUUCCGUAGAUACUAAGGGUACUCCUUGAAAUGUUUAGUUUAACGCGGCUGCCUUUAUCUCACCAGAACAGUCCCUCGACGCCAGAGUACUCCGUGAUCCGGCACCCCGACGCAGACCGCCUUCUCAGUUCUUCAUCCCGCCCAUUGCACUGCCGUUUUUAGCUGUUGGUAAGUCCUUAGUGCUUACCAUGCCUUUUAAUCGGGUUCUACCGCGUCGUGGCUUUGGGACCAAGCCCGGCGAACCUCGGUGUUCGCCAUGAACCAAGUGACGUGGACUGUAGGCCAUAACAAUUCGAUUGGUGGUAGGACAUGGGUUGGUUAUGCCUAGGGAAUUGACUGGGACGCUCGUCGUCUCGAAAGGGGCUGCCGGCGGUGAGCUCUGAUAGUGACAUUCAGGUGUUCGACGCGGCGUCGUCGGGGGUCUUGUGGACAUAAAUAGAACCAAGCAGAAGGGCUUAAGUGUAAGUGUCAGUGACUCAUGUAAACAGUAUCAACAAGCGCUUCUCAAUUGUUUGAACGAUCAGAGGCCUUUGUGCAAAUCAACCCGCGCGGUCGCGGGCGCGCCUGAAUUCUGUACAGACCUGGGCUGGCCGGGCUGGUUUCGGCCCAAUACUUUAGACAGUUUCUUCUUUUGUUUUUUAUUAGGUUUGAAGAUCCAUCAGAAAUUCUAGAAAAAUAAUAAAAAUAUGGGACCAAUUUUACUAGACUCCUAAAAUCCUCUAGUAUUUAAUAAAAAUAGUUCCAAGAUUUUUAAUCCCAACUAUGAAUUAUUUAAUAUUUAAAAAGGGCAUAACCCUAGACAUUUGGAAUUUUAGAAAUUACCAAAUAGCUCAAAAAAUCAUAAAACUUUUCGGGUAAGCUUAAUUUGAUAAUUAGAGCCCUUGGAUGAAGUUUGACAUGUGUUGGAUAUUGUUUGAUUCCUAAACCCAAAACCCUAGCUUUCUAGAUAAUAGUUGCCUUAUUCUAGUGGACUACUGACUCGGAAAACCCUAGUUUCCCUGGUGUACCAAGAAGGAAAGUUGUAUUCAAGAUACAACUUGAUGUGUCACUAAUAAAAUUUCAUAUUCAUAGCAUCACAUGAGCAUUCAUGUUUAUAUAUGGUUAUGUAUAGAAAACGAAGAAGAAGUAAGUGUCGAAGAGGAAGAGACUGCACCACCAACUGAAACCCCACCUGUCGGGAGUUGUUUUUAUUUCGAUAUCCAUGGAAAAGAUCCCAACUCCCCUACAACACAAGGCAAGCCCCGGUGCAUUUACCUUUCCUUGUGAUUUUAAACUCUUUAUCACUUGAAUAAUGCAUUAGGUGAUAGGAGUUGAGUGCUACACAAUUGCUGCAUUUCCUUGUAGGCCUUUCUGGUAUUAGUCUGCCCGAGGCAAAGCUUACCCAUGACGAGGCAUGUGACCAGUUAAAGGGUCCUCGGUCAUCAGGCCCACAUCAGUACGGUCCUUAAGCGACUCAGACGGUGACACUACACCGAGACUCUCUUCUCGUGCAAGUCACCUAUCCAGUCUCGUCUUUAUCAUUUUCAAUCCCAAAAUCUGGUACGUGGCAGAGGUACAUCUUUUCCCAUGUUGAACCCAUCACGGCCAUGAUGGAUCCACCAUCAAGUUUUAUUUUUGAAAACAUCCCAUUCCAUCUGAAGCAUCAUCUUUUGUUAAAAACAAAACAUUUUUGUUUUCUAAAGCAAGACUAAGCAUCAGAAAACCUUUUAACAAAACAGGUAAUCAAGGAAAGGUAAACAGUUCCAAGGAAGGAAAUGCAGCAAUUGGUUUAGCACCCAACUCCUAUCACCUAAUGCAUCAUUCAAGUGAUAAAGAGUUUAAAAUCACAAGGAAAAGGUAAAUGUACUGGGGCUUGCCUUGUGUUGUAGUGGAUUCGGGAUCUGUUGCACAGAUAUCAAAAUAAAAACAGUUCCCGGUAGGUGGCGUUCCAGUUGGUGGUGCAGUCUCUUCUUCUUCAACACUUACUUCUUCUUCGUUUUCUAUACAUAACCAUACAUAUACAUGAAUGCUCAUGUGAUGCUAUGAAUAUGCAAUUAAAAUAGAGAUACAUCAAGUUGUAUCUUGAAUACAACUUUCCUUCACGGUACACCAGGGAAACUAGGGUUUUCCAAGUCAGUAGUCCACUAGAAUAAGGUAACUAUUAUCUAGAAAGCUAGGGUUUUAGGUUUGGGGAUCAAACAAUGUCCAAAACAUGUCAAACUUCACCCAUGGGCUCUAACUCCAUGGCAAGAGGCUGGACGGUGGUGUAUCUGUGCUCUCGAUUGGCGUGAACCCGGUCUGGUCUUAAGAAACCCAGUGGCGAGUUGACAUAUGCAAGGGUUAAGUGCUACAUAUGUCGUGUGAUUGGAGAUCCUCAUCUAAGUAUUAAUCGAUUCAGAUCGUCGUUACUUCUCGGACAUGAAGACUUGGUCAUUGACUUACACGUAGCAAUCCAGUAAAGUAAAAAGGGAUGAUAAAAGAUGGCGAAUGUAGGCCAAGUGCUUGAACUAGGGUAGAAGGAACUCUAGAUUCAGGUAAUGACUUAAACUGAUAAUAAAACUAGAUUUUUAAGGAUCCACUAUUAGUAAGCAUUUCUGCAAACAGAGUCUUGAUUCUUGAAUAGCCUUCCCUUGACUCCCUCAAGCCAGCAUAUCCUUGAGAGUCGUUUCUUUUGUCGGGUAAGACUUGCGAAAGUACACUCCGUACUCAUGUUUUCGAACUCAUGUUGUUGUAGGUGAGGAAACAUCACACUUUUGCUGUUUUUGUUCAAAGGUGGUACCCAAGGAAGAGCCUCAGCAGUGAAGUGGUCGUGGGAGGAUGUUGACCUCCCACUUUAAAAACAAUAAACUUUUGUGCGGGAGGGUGUUUUGCCUCCCUGGUCUAUAAUAAUACUACUUUAUGCACUCCUAGUACCCUGGUAUUGUAAUAAUAAUACUCUCUCUAUAUAUUUGAUGAAUGUAAAUUAAGUUAUUGUAAAUUGCUUCCGCUUAUUCUUUCCUCCGAAAUGACGUAAUAUCUGCGUGACGGGUGAAGCGCUCUUGGGCGAAAUGAUGAAGGUACAAUUACCAAACUUGUCGAGUGAUUAUGUGCAUCUACGGGGUUGUCCAAUGUCCUUAGGACAAGGACACUGUAGGUGGGCCUAAUACCUUGGGAGGUUCCGUCACAUUAUUUCCCACAACUUGUUGAACUAUGAUCUUUUGUGAGCUCACUCUUGCGAUAUAUAAACCCCCCACAGGUGAAAGAGCAGGUGAUCUAAGAGGAGCCCUACAAUGAGGAAUAUGAGCUUAUCUAGGUGGCGUCUCCCAGUCAGCUUGAUGGCGCCAAGGA